UACGUAGGGUGCGAGCGUUAAUCGGAAUUACUGGGCGUAAAGCGUGCGCAGGCGGCUUCGCAAGUCAGACGUGAAAGCCCCGGGCUUAACCUGGGAAUGGCGUUUGAAACUACGGAGCUGGAGUGUGGCAGAGGGGGGUGGAAUUCCACGUGUAGCGGUGAAAUGCGUAGAUAUGUGGAGGAACACCGAUGGCGAAGGCAGCCCCCUGGGCCAACACUGACGCUCAUGCACGAAAGCGUGGGGAGCAGACAGG
rnacentral:rRNA from 1 species